rnacentral:rRNA from 1 species
GCAACGCGAAGAACUUACCUGGGCUUGACAUCCCUGGAAUCCCCCUGGAAACAGGGAGUGCCUUCGGGGAGCCAGGAGACAGGUGCUGCAUGGCUGUCGUCAGCUCGUGUCGUGAGAUGUUGGGUUAAGUCCCGCAACGAGCGCAACCCUUGUCUUUAAUUGCCAUCAUUCAGUUGGGCACUUUAAAGAGACUGCCGGUGUUAAACCAGAGGAAGGUGGGGAUGACGUCAAGUCCUCAUGGCCUUUAUGCCCAGGGCUACACACGUGCUACAAUGGGUGGUACAAAGAGUUGCGAUACCGCGAGGUGGAGCUAACCUCAUAAAGCCGGUCUCAGUUCGGAUUGGAGUCUGCAACUCGACUCCAUGAAGUUGGAAUCGCUAGUAAUCGCGGAUCAGCACGCCGCGGUGAAUACGUUCCCGGGCCUU